rnacentral:rRNA from 1 species
UACGAAGGGGGCUAGCGUUGCUCGGAAUCACUGGGCGUAAAGGGUGCGUAGGCGGGUCUUUAAGUCAGGGGUGAAAUCCUGGAGCUCAACUCCAGAACUGCCUUUGAUACUGAGGAUCUUGAGUUCGGGAGAGGUGAGUGGAACUGCGAGUGUAGAGGUGAAAUUCGUAGAUAUUCGCAAGAACACCAGUGGCGAAGGCAGCUCGCUGGGACGGUACUGACGCUGAGGCGCGAAAGCGUGGGGAGCAAACAGG